GUCCAGACUCCUACGGGAGGCAGCAGUGAGGAAUAUUGGUCAAUGGCCGAGAGGCUGAACCAGCCAAGUCGCGUGAGGGAUGACGGCCCUACGGGUUGUAAACCUCUUUUGUCGGGGAGCAAAGAGAGUCACGUGUGGCUCAUUGAGAGUACCCGAAGAAAAAGCAUCGGCUAACUCCGUGCCAGCAGCCGCGGUAAUACGUAGGGAGCGAGCGUUAUCCGGAAUUAUUGGGCGUAAAGGGUGCGUAGAUGGCAUAGUAAGUCUUUUGUAAAAAUGCUGGGCUCAACCCAGUAGGGCAAAAGAUACUGCAAAGCUAGAGUAUGACAGAGGCAAGUGGAACUACAUGUGUAGCGGUAAAAUGCGUAAAUAUAUGUAAGAACACCAGUGGCGAAGGCGGCUUGCUGGGUCGAUACUGACAUUGAGGCACGAAAGCGUGGGGAGCAAACAGGAUUAGAUACCCUAGUAAG
rnacentral:rRNA from 1 species